AGUUCAUACCCACCAGCAACAAAAUUCUCCAGUGACUGUCAUUCAGAAUAAAGCUCCAAUUCCCUGUGAAGUCGUUAAGGCAACAGUAAUCCAGAACUCUGUCCCCCAGACAGCAGUUCCUGUGAGUAUCGCUGUUGGAGGACCUGCACAGAGCUCUUUAGCUCAGAAUCAUAGUGCAGGGCCACAGCCUGUUACAGUUGUAAAUUCUCAGACAUUGCUUCACCAUCCCUCUGUGAUGCCACAGCCAUCUCCACUACACACAGUGGUGCCAGGACAGAUCCCGUCAGGAACUCCUGUCACAGUAAUCCAGCAAACUGUACCACAGAGUCAUAUAUUUGGACGAGUACAGAACAUACCAGCAUGUACGUCCACAGUUUCACAGGGUCAGCAGUUAAUCACCACGUCACCACAGCCUAUGCACACGUCAUCUCAACAGACAGCAGCUGGUAGCCAGCCACA
rnacentral:lncRNA from 1 species